rnacentral:snRNA from 1 species
CUGCCCUCACUUUAGCAACAUGUAUACUAAAAUUGGAGCACACCAAUAUUAGCCUGGUCCUUGAGCAAGAAUGACAUGAAAAUUCAUGAAGUGUUACAUAUUUUU